rnacentral:rRNA from 1 species
CCAGACUCCUACGGGAGGCAGCAGUGGGGAAUAUUGCACAAUGGGGGGAACCCUGAUGCAGCGACGCCGCGUGGGUGAAGGAGUACUUCGGUACGUAAAGCCCUAUCAGCAGGAAAGAAAAUGACGGUACCUGACUAAGAAGCCCCGGCUAACUACGUGCCAGCAGCCGCGGUAAUACGUAGGGGGCAAGCGUUAUCCGGAUUUACUGGGUGUAAAGGGAGCGUAGACGGUGAUGCAAGUCAGAAGUGAAAGCCCGGGGCUCAACUCCGGGACUGCUUUUGAAACUGUGUAACUGGAGUGCAGGAGAGGUGAGCGGAAUUCCUGGUGUAGCGGUGAAAUGCGUAGAUAUCAGGAGGAACACCGGUGGCGAAGGCGGCCUGCUGGACUGCAACUGACGUUGAGGCCCGAAAGCGUGGGGAGCAAACAGGAUUAGAUACCCGCGUA